AGUGAACGCUGGCGGCAGGCCUAACACAUGCAAGUCGAACGGCAGCACAGAGGAGCUUGCCCCUUGGGUGGCGAGUGGCGGACGGGUGAGGAAUGCGUCGGAAUCUGCCUAUUUGUGGGGGAUAACGUAGGGAAACUUACGCUAAUACCGCAUACGACCUACGGGUGAAAGUGGGGGACCGCAAGGCCUCACGCAGAUAGAUGAGCCGACGCCGGAUUAGCUAGUUGGCGGGGUAAAGGCCCACCAAGGCGACGAUCCGUAGCUGGUCUGAGAGGAUGAUCAGCCACACGGGGACUGAGACACGGCCCAGACUCAUACGGGAGGCAGCAGUGGGGAAUAUUGGACAAUGGGCGCAAGCCUGAUCCAGCAAUGCCGCGUGAGCGAUGAAGGCCUUAGGGUUGUAAAGCACUUUAGCCUGGAAAGAAAAAACUUUGGUUAACACCCAAAGUCUUGACGGUACCAGGAGAAUAAGCACCGGCUAACUCUGUGCCAGCCGCCGCGGUAAGAC
rnacentral:rRNA from 1 species